AUUGAACGCUGGCGGCAGGCCUAACACAUGCAAGUCGAACGAGUGGCGGACGGGUGAGUAAUGUCUGGGAAACUGCCUGAUGGAGGGGGAUAACUACUGGACACGGUAGCUAAUACCGCAUACCAUCGGAUGUGCCCAUAUGGGAUUAGCUAGUAGGUGGGGUAAAGGCUCACCUAGGCGACGAUCCCUAGCUGGUCUGAGAGGAUGACCAGCCACACUGGAACUGGGCCACGGUCCAGACUCUUACGGGAGGCGGCAGUGGGGAAUAUUGGACAAUGGGCGCAAGCCGGAUGCAGCCAUGCCGCUUGUAUGAAGAAGGCCUUCGGGUUGUAAAGUACUUUCAUCGGGGAGGCGUUACCCGCAGAAGAAGCACCGGCUAACUCCGUGCCAGCAGCCGCGGUAAUAC
rnacentral:rRNA from 1 species